rnacentral:lncRNA from 1 species
GAACCUAAUGGUAUAUGAGCCCCAGGUAUGGCAUCAGAGAGCUCAUUCUGCCUGGGCUGCUUCUUGGGGAGCUGGAUCACCCUGACAGGCUGAACGGUAACACAAGCCCGAAUUGACCCUGAAAGCAGGCCCAACCCCUUGAUUGAAGGUGUUUGCCUAUUAUGAUCCAGCUACGUGGGCAGAAGAUGGAUCCUG